AAUAGAUACCCAGGUAGUCCUAGCCGUAAACGAUGAGCACUUGGUUGGAGGCUCCUCCAUAGGCUUCCGGCCGUAGCGAAAGUGUUAAGUGCUCCGCCUGGGGAGUAUGGCCGCAAGGCUGAAACUCAAAGGAAUUGACGGGGGCUCACACAAGCGGUGGAGGAUGUGGCUUAAUUCGAGGCUACGCGAAGAACCUUAUCCUAGUCUUGACAUGCAUGGAUUAACCCUAUGAAAGUAGGGCCACGCCUUCGGGUGGAACAUGCACAGGUGCUGCAUGACUGUCGUCAGCUCGUGUCGUGAGAUGUCGCGUUAAGUCGCUUAACGAGCGAAACCCUUGUCCUUAGUUGCCAGCGGGUCAUGCCGGGGACUCUAAGGAGACUGCCGGUGUUAAACCGGAGGAAGGUGGGGAUGACGUCAAGUCCUCAUGGCCUUUAUGACUAGGGCUGCACACGUCCUACAAUGGCGCGCACAAAGGGAAGCAAACUCGCGAGAGCCAGCAAAUCCCAAAAAACGCGCCUCAGUUCGG
rnacentral:rRNA from 1 species